UACGUAGGGAGCAAGCGUUGUCCGGAAUCAUUGGGCGUAAAGCGCGCGUAGGCGGCCCUGUAAGUCCGUUGUGAAAGUCAAAGGCUCAACCUUGGAAAGCCGGUGGAUACUGUCGAGCUCGAGUCCGGAAGAGGCGAGUGGAAUUCCUGGUGUAGCGGUGAAAUGCGCAGAUAUCAGGAGGAACACCAAUGGCGAAGGCAGCUCGCUGGGACGGUACUGACGCUGAGACGCGAAAGCGUGGGGAGCAAACAGG
rnacentral:rRNA from 1 species